rnacentral:rRNA from 1 species
UACGGAGGGGGCUAGCGUUGUUCGGAAUUACUGGGCGUAAAGCGCACGUAGGCGGCUAUUCAAGUCAGAGGUGAAAGCCCGGGGCUCAACCCCGGAACUGCCUUUGAAACUAGAUGGCUAGAAUCUUGGAGAGGCGAGUGGAAUUCCGAGUGUAGAGGUGAAAUUCGUAGAUAUUCGGAAGAACACCAGUGGCGAAGGCGACUCGCUGGACAAGUAUUGACGCUGAGGUGCGAAAGCGUGGGGAGCAAACAGGG